GACCGCUCCGGUGGCCUAGCAGUCAGAGCGUUCACUUCGGAUGCGGAAGGUCUUGGGUUAGAUCCCCGGCCUAGUCA